rnacentral:lncRNA from 1 species
CUCAAGGAUGACAAGAUCAUUUAGUGGGUGAACCAAUCCCACAACUCCCCUACUUGGCUUUGGUUUUGGAUGCAAGGGAUGUUAAGAGGUAGGGAUAUAAAGCUUCCAUGGUAAUAUACAAGCACAGCUGGCCUUCAGUACUGUUUGGGACAAGAGUUUAUAACCCAUGUGGUCUGGAAAAUCCUCAGGCUGAUAACUUAGUUUAAAAUAGUCUCAAGUAGGCUGGGCGUGGUGGCUCACACCUGUAAUCCCACCACUUUGGGAGGCCGAGGCAGGCGGAUCACCUGAGGUCAGGAGUUCAAGACCAGCCUGGCCAACAUGGUGAAACCCCAUCUCUACUAAAAAUACAAAAUUAGCUGGGUGUGGUGGUGGGUGCCUGUAAUCCCAGCACUUUGGGAGGCAGAGGCAGGUGGAUCACGAGGUCAGGGGUUCGAGACCAGCCUGACCAACAUGGUGAAACCCUGUCUCUACUAAAAAUACAAAAAUUAGCCGGGUGUGGUGGUGGGCGCCUGUAAUCCCAGCUACUCAGGAGGCUGAAGCAGGAGAAUUGCUUGAACGCGGGAGGCGGAGGUUGCAGUGAACCAAGAUCGCGCCACUGCACUCCAGCCUGGGCGACAGAGCGAGACUCCGUCUCAAAAAAAAAAAAAGUCUCAAGUAGAUAGUGUCUCCAGGGUCCUGGCAGAAGCAAAUGUAAUCCUUUCUUGAGGAUUGUUUUUUUUUUGUUUGUUUUUUGUUUUUGAGAUGGAGUCUCACUCUGUCGUCCAGACUGGCAAAAAUUAAAAUGUGAGAAGUAUAAAAUAAAAAAUACAAAAUGUCUUAUGUUU